rnacentral:piRNA from 1 species
UCUAAUGGUGCUGCUGAACUGACAGGAG